GUACCUCCUAUGCAACGUGCCUCAAAGUUAUUUCAACCAGCAAUGAGUUCGUGCUCUCGUCGUGCAGCAAGUAUAUAGUAAUGGCAAAAAUAACUUAACACAUGAAUUCAAAAUCAAAAACAGCUUUAUUCAAAUAGGCCGUAAGAGCACUUUUGAAUCGUCAAUUUACAAAUUAAAACUUUAACAAUAAAUUAAUAUUAUUGCUACUUAUUUCAUAA
rnacentral:misc_RNA from 1 species